rnacentral:rRNA from 1 species
AGUGGGGAAUAUUGGACAAUGGGCGCAAGCCUGAUCCAGCCAUGCCGCGUGAGUGAUGAAGGCCUUAGGGUUGUAAAGCUCUUUCGCACGCGACGAUAAUGACGGUAGCGUGAGAAGAAGCCCCGGCUAACUUCGUGCCAGCAGCCGCGGUAAUACGAAGGGGGCUAGCGUUGUUCGGAAUCACUGGGCGUAAAGGGCGCGUAGGCGGCUUUGUAAGUCGGGGGUGAAAGCCUGUGGCUCAACCACAGAAUUGCCUUCGAUACUGCAUGGCUUGAGACCGGAAGAGGUAAGUGGAACUGCGAGUGUAGAGGUGAAAUUCGUAGAUAUUCGCAAGAACACCAGUGGCGAAGGCGGCUUACUGGUCCGGUUCUGACGCUGAGGCGCGAAAGCGUGGGGAGCAAA